GGACUACUAGGGUAUCUAAUCCCGUUUGCUCCCCUAGCUUUCGCGCCUCAGCGUCAGAAGAGAUCCAGUGCGUCGCUUUCGCCUCCGGCGUUCCUCACAAUAUCAACGCAUUUCACCGCUCCACUGUGAGUUCCACACACCCCUAUCUCCCUCCAGACGACCAGUAUCAAAGGCACUUCUGCAGUUAAGCUGCAGGAUUUCACCCCUGACUUGGUCGACCGCCUACGCGCCCUUUAAGCCCAGUGAUUCCGAACAACGUUAGGACAGUUCGUCUUACCGCGGCUGCUGGCAC
rnacentral:rRNA from 1 species